CCUGAGGGAUAGGGGAUUUGUAGCUAAACAGCUUUCCCAGUCCUGCUGCUUUGGAUUUGGAAAAAAAAAAAGGAAAAACAGCUGUGUUCUAUCUAAUUUAAGGAGAAAGGGAAACAAUUCCAAAUUUACAUACCUCUACAGCUGAUCAAAAUAAGCUUUUAAAAGCUGAACUUAGUCACAGUAGAGAAAAGAUUUAGGAAAGAUAAGAAGAUUGAGGGUACUUUGUCACAACUGACAUAGUCAGCCACCAACUGUAAAAUUAAUUUUAGUCUCUAGUAAUAGAAAUAUUAUAUUUUGUGAGGUUUAUUAAGGAUUAUUAGAAAAUCAAGGAAUAAAGACAAUACACCACAUACCCAUGGCUGAUUAGCCAAUUCAGAAUGCCCGUGCUUAGCAUACUUACUACACCAUUGCAAUGGCUGAGUAGAGAGAAGCCUGUGAGGCAGAGAACCAGUUAAACACUCAUUGUGAUCUCACCCAGGUGGAGACUCAGGUGAGAUUAUAGGGAAUUCUGGGAAAUACCAAGGACUUCUGGGGAUUGAAGUCUAGGUUUCAAAUCUUCAUUUUAUACCCCAAAGUGUGAAUUGAGUCCUUAUCUGAAGCCCAGACUAGAAUUCCCUAGACUGGAGCUCCAGACUUCUCCACAGGAUCUUGAACCCAGCAAGUGCCCCACAGAAUCCUCCCAACCAAUUUUUUUACCUCUGCACUGUCCUUGGCCUGAGAACUCCUGAAGUUGUUGCUGCCACCACUGAAGCUACCUUCAAGGACUGCUUCUGGACCUAUUACAGACUAAACUGCAAGAUAUGCACUGUGUUCCAGGCUCAAAUAACACCCCUGUGAAACAGACCCUUCUUGCCAACUUCCUAAGAGCAAGAUUUUUGAGUAUCAUGCUAAGGAAUUUCUUAGUUUGCUUCUUUGAAGACAAAGAAAAGGAGUCAUUUAGAUGCCUAUGAACACGUGCCUAUUGUGAUAUUUAACAGUUUUGAUAAUGGUUAGCUACUUCAAAAAUAUCCAAAGUCUCAAGAGCUAUACAGAUAUUCUAGGAGUCAACAGGAAAUUGAUGAGGUUCCUAAGCCUUCAACUUGUCCUAGCAGCCAUCCAAUUUCCCAGAGAUUUUGCUCUCCCUUGAGUCAUGUCAUGAAAAAUGGAUUGUGGAUCUCCAGAGGCAUCCCAGUUGCCUUAUUGGAAUACCAAUGGUAAAUGAAGAGAUUUGUUCAAGUCGGUAUAUUAUUGUAAGCUGCCUUUUUCAUUAGGGCUUGGCUUGGGAUUCUGCUGUUACUCAGUCAGUCAGACUAUCAUUUUUGCCCCUCAGCUUCAACAGGCUCAGGCUCUAUUUGGAGAAAAUGGUAUUAGCAUAAUGGAUUGUAUUAAAUAGCUGGAAGGAGUUUGAGAACAUUAAUGAAAAGCAUAAAAAAGCACAGAGAUAUGUAUAUGUGUAUAUAUAUAUAUAUAUAUAUAUAUAUAUAUAUAUAUAUAUGAUCAUUCACAGAAAGUGGG
rnacentral:lncRNA from 1 species